GAUGAAGAACGCAGCGAAACGCGAUAGUUAAUGUGAAUUGCAGAAUUCAGUGAAUCAUCGAGUCUUUGAACGCACAUUGCGCCUUUUGGUAUUCCGAGAGGCACGUCUGUUCGAGCGUCAGUAAAACCCCUUCCGGGCACUUUUUUUUAGUGCCUCGGGACCAUGGCGUCGAGGAAUCUAGGUGCGCCUGCCGCUGACCGCGGCGGCGUUGAGCCUUCCCCCGCUUAAAUAGGUGAAUACGACAGCGGGCAUCCGGCCCCAUAUCUGCGACGACUCGUAAAACCUCUUACCGUCGUUCCGUCGGAUUGGACCUGCCCCGCCUCUUGAAACUUACAUACCUGACUCUUGACCUCGGAUCAGAUGAGGAUACCCGCUGAACUUAAGCAUAUCAAUAAGCGGAGGA
rnacentral:misc_RNA from 1 species